rnacentral:rRNA from 1 species
UACGGAGGGAGCUAGCGUUGUUCGGAAUUACUGGGCGUAAAGCGCGCGUAGGCGGCUUUGUAAGUCAGAGGUGAAAGCCUGGAGCUCAACUCCAGAACUGCCUUUGAAACUACAUCGCUAGAAUCAUGGAGAGGUUAGUGGAAUUCCGAGUGUAGAGGUGAAAUUCGUAGAUAUUCGGAAGAACACCAGUGGCGAAGGCGACUAACUGGACAUGUAUUGACGCUGAGGUGCGAAAGCGUGGGGAGCAAACAGG